rnacentral:rRNA from 1 species
GGGGCCCCACAGGCUUACUGAUCCUAACCAAACUCCGAAUACCCGGGAGUACUAGAUGGCAGACACACUGCGGAUGCUAACGUCCGUAGUGGAGAGGGAAACAACCCUGACCUCCAGCUAAGGCCCCUAAUUCAUGGCUAAGUGGGAAAGCAGGUGGGACGACCAAAACAACCAGGAGGUUGGCUUAGAAGCAGCCAUCCUUUAAAGAUAGCGUAACAGCUCACUGGUCUAAAUAAGUUGUCCUGCGGCGAAGAUGUAACGGGGCUCAAGCCAUGAGCCGAAGCUGAGGAUGCACAUAGUGCAUGGUAGCAGAGCGUAGUGUGACAUAGUUCCAUGCGUCUUUAACCUUCGUCAUCGAAGGUCUUAGACGCAAGGAGCUUUCUGUGAAGCCGGGGCGUGAGCCAUCCGGUGGAGAGAUCACUAGCGAGAAUGAUGACAUGAGUAGCGACAAACAGGGUGAGAGACCCUGUCGCCGAAAGUCCAAGGGUUCCUGCUUAAAGCUAAUCUGAGCAGGGUAAGCCGGCCCCUAAGGCGAGGCCGAAAGGCGUAGUCGAUGGGAACUAGGUUAAUAUUCCUAGGCCGUGAGGUGGUG